rnacentral:rRNA from 1 species
GUAGGUGGCAAGCGUUGUCCGGAAUUAUUGGGCGUAAAGCGCGCGCAGGCGGUUCUUUAAGUCUGAUGUGAAAGCCCACGGGCUCAACCGUGGAGGGUCAUUGGAAACUGGAGAACUUGAGUACAGAAGAGGAAAGCGGAAUUCCACGUGUAGCGGUGAAAUGCGUAGAAAUGUGGAGGAACACCAGUGGCGAAGGCGGCUUUCUGGUCUGUAACUGACGCUGAGGCGCGAAAGCGUGGGGAGCAAACAGGAUUAGAUACCCUGGUAGUCCACGCCGUAAACGAUGAGUGCUAAGUGUUAGGGGGUUUCCGCCCCUUAGUGCUGCAGCUAACGCAUUAAGCACUCCGCCUGGGGAGUACGGCCGCAAAGGCUG